rnacentral:rRNA from 1 species
UACAGAGGGUGCUAGCGUUGUUCGGAAUCAUUGGGCGUAAAGAGCGUGUAGGCGGCCCGGUAAGUCCGCUGUGAAAGUCCAGGGCUCAACCCUGGGAUGCCGGUGGAUACUGUCGGGCUCGAGUCCGGAAGAGGAGUGUGGAAUUCCUGGUGUAGCGGUGAAAUGCGCAGAUAUCAGGAGGAACACCAAUGGCGAAGGCAGCACUCUGGGACGUGACUGACGCUGAGACGCGAAAGCGUGGGGAGCAAACGGG